rnacentral:rRNA from 1 species
UACGUAGGGUGCGAGCGUUAAUCGGAAUUACUGGGCGUAAAGCGUGCGUAGGCGGUUGGCAAAGUCAGCUGUGAAAGCCCCGGGCUUAACCUGGGAAUGGCGGUUGAAACUAGUCGACUUGAAUCUGGCAGAGGGGGGUGGAAUUCCACGUGUAGCAGUGAAAUGCGUAGAGAUGUGGAGGAACACCGAUGGCGAAGGCAGCCCCCUGGGCUGAGAUUGACGCUCAGGCACGAAAGCGUGGGGAGCGAACAGG